AGCGAACGCUGGCGGCGUGCUUAACACAUGCAAGUCGAACGAAGGCUUCGGCCUUAGUGGCGGACGGGUGAGUAACGCGUGGGAAUCUACCUUACGGCGGGGAAUAACAGUUGGAAACGACUGCUAAUACCGCAUACGCUCUACGGAGGAAAGGCUUCGGCCACCGUUUGAGGAUCCCGCGUCCGAUUAGCUAGUUGGUAGGGUAACGGCCUACCAAGGCGACGAUCGGUAGCUGGUCUGAGAGGAUGAUCAGCCACACUGGGACUGAGACACGGCCCAGACUCCUACGGGAGGCAGCAGUGGGGAAUAUUGGGCAAUGGACGCAAGUCUGACCCAGCCAUGCCGCGUGCAGGAAGACGGCCCUCUGGGUUGUAAACUGCUUUUAUCAGGGAAGAAACCCUUCUACGUGUAGAAGGCUGACGGUACCUGAGGAAUAAGGAUCGGCUAACUCCGUGCCAGCAGCCGCGGUAAU
rnacentral:rRNA from 1 species